UACAGAGGUCUCAAGCGUUGUUCGGAUUCAUUGGGCGUAAAGGGUGUGUAGGUGGCGCGCUAAGUCGGGUGUGAAAUUUCGGAGCUUAACUCCGAAACUGCAUUCGAUACUGGCGUGCUUGAGGACUGGAGAGGAGACUGGAAUUCAUGGUGUAGCAGUGAAAUGCGUAGAGAUCAAUGAGGAAGACCAGUGGCGAAGGCGGGUCUCUGGACAGUUCCGUGACGCUGAGGCACGAAGGCCAGGGGAGCAAACGGG
rnacentral:rRNA from 1 species